CUGAGGGACAUUGACAAAACAGCUGGCUUGUAAUAUAUUAAAAUGUCAAAGACAAAGAAAACAACUAAACCACCCCAGAUUAGAAGAGACAAGAGGGAUGUGAGCACUGUGGUAGGCAGGCUUCUCAGACGGCCUCCAAGGACCCCAACUCCUGGCCUUCACUCCCCUGUGCAGUCCCCUCUCCUUGAGUGCGCCCAGACCUGGCGACUUGCUUCUAAUGAAUACAAUAGAGCAAAGUUUGUGGCCGGGGACUGCACUGGGCUUGGGAACCCGGGGAUGAAUGACGUCUUAGUCAGGUAUUGUUGCAAUGAUGCUAUAAAACAAACCUCCUCCAAAUCUCAGUGGCUUACGACAAGUGCGGAUUUUCUUCAUUCAUGGGUAGGUCAGCAAUUGAACAGGGAUUUCUGUUGUAGGCCGCGGAUUGGCUGGGCGUGGGGCCAGCCUCUGUGUUGGCUUCAGGUCUGCUGUUCAUGUCCCCACAUUCUUGUUGGUCCGGUGACUACCCGUGACACAUUCUUCUCGAGACGGAAGAGACAAGGCAAACCACCCAAGCACAUUUGAAGCCUCUGCUGACAUCACUGGCCAAAGCAAAUCCCAUGCCCAAACCUGAAGGCAUUAAGGCAGAGAAGUCUGUUGUACCCACUAUGAAGCCCCGGUGAUAACAGAGAGGUCUGUGACAAGGGGAAUGAGAAUUGAGAGCAGAAAUCCAGUCUGCCACAAGUGACCAAGCCCAGGUCUUGCCCUCAGGGAGUUCACAGUCUAGUGGGAGUACUCACCGAGGCACAACUACAAUGCAGUGAGAUGGUCGCUCUUGGAAAUCAACCGCCAUGCUGUGAAGAAGCCCAACAAGGCACAUGUAGGUAUUCUACUAGACAGCCAGCCUCCACCACCAGACAUAUGAGUGAGGAGCCCUCAGAUGGCCCCAGCCCCGAGUUGUCAUGUCACCUCCACACCGUCAUCUUCCAGCUGAGCCACCAAGCAUCAGGAUACAGAGACACGCCAUCCUCACCAUACUUUUU